rnacentral:rRNA from 1 species
CCCAACGAGAACGCAGAAAGUGUGGGGGAGCGGCGGACGGCUGAGUAACACGUUGGUACCUGCCCUACACACGGGGACAAGCCUUGGAAACGAGGUCUAAUACCCGAUACCCUCUUCGGAGGAAAGCUUUCGCGGUGUAGGAGGGGCCUGCGCAUGAUUAGCUAGUUGGUGAGGUAAUGGCUCACCAAGGCGACGAUCAUUAGAUGGUCUGAGAGGAUGAUCAUCCAGACUGGGACUGAGACACGGCCCAGACUCCUACGGGAGGCAGCAGUGAGGAAUCUUGCACAAUGGGGGAAACCCUGAUGCAGCAACGCCGCGUGGAGGAAGACGGCCUUCGGGUUGUAAACUCCUUUUAUUUGGGACGAACAUUGACGGUACCAGAUGAAUAAGAGGUGGCUAACUAUGUGCCAGCAGCCGCGGUAAUACAUAGACCUCGAGCGUUAUCCGGAUUUACUGGGCGUAAAGCGUGCGUAGGCGGAUCAUUAAGUCUUCGGUGAAAUCUCUCCGCCCAACGGAGAAACUGUCGAAGAAACUAAUGAACUAGAGUAUGACAGAGGCAGACGGAAUUCUAAGUGUAGCGGUAAAAUGCGUAGAUAUUUAGAAGAACACCAGUGGCGAAGGCGGUCUGCUGGGUCAUUACUGACGCUGAGGUACGAAAGCGUGGGGAGCGAACGGGAUUAGAUACCCCGGUAGUCCACGCCGUAAACGAUGGGUGCUAGGUAUGUNGGGGCAUAGACCCCCUGCGUAUCGAAGCUAACGCGUUANCACCCGCCUGGGGAGUACGGUCGCAGACUAAACUCAAAGNAUUGACG